AUAGCAAAUCGUUAUUGCAUUUCCAUUAUUGACCUUCCAUUCCAGCUUUCAAAAUUUCCAAAUCCCGUACCCGUUUAUCGUUCAUCUUUAUCCAUAUUCCAUUCAAAAUUUAAAUGGUUAUCUCCGUCAAACGAUCCGGGCGAAGAUUGGGGAAUUACUCCUCUUAGCCAACCUUAAUCACUUUGACCCCGCAUUUGAACUCCUCACAUCGACUUCUACCUUAUUCCUUGUUAAACGCCGCCACAUCACCACCACACACCGUCACAGCGCCACCGUCUGCCACAACGAACCAGGGUCGCCACCACGGAUCACCACUCGCAUCCCGUUCAAUUCGGUUUGAUUCGAGAUCAGACGUGCGUAAACCAUGAAUAACCAUUGUUAUUCACCUCGAUUCAGUUAUGUAUGAUCAUCAUCUGAAGCGCUAAUCAUUGGACUCCGGCCAGCACCAUUUGGCAACUGAGGUUCGCGUACUCGUUAAAGACAAUUUGUUGUGGCUUUGCUUUGCUAAAUUAAGGUAACAUGGGAUGAUCUGGGAUUUCAGUGAGCGGCGUUAGGAAGUUGCUGGUCAAGAUUCUUUAUUUCAGUAAUGUAAUAAAUGUAAUUAGGAUAUUUUAUUUAAUGUUAUGGAUUGGUUUUUAGUUUUGA